UCUCAAGCGUGAGGUAAGGGCAUCUGGUGAAUGCCUUGGCAUGUACAGGCGAUGAAGGACGUGGCACGCUGCGAUAAGCGUGGGGGAGCCGUGAGCAGGCUUUGAUCCCGCGAUUUCCGAAUGGGAUAACCCACCUUCACCAUUUAAUCUUUGGUUCCCCGCCUUGGCGAGGACUAAAGGUUAAAUGGGAGAGGUAUCACUAAGCUGAAUAAAAUAGGCUUUGGUGAAGCGAACCCGGAGAACUGAAACAUCUCAGUACCCGGAGGAAAAGACAUCAACCGAGAUUCCGUUAGUAGUGGCGAGCGAACGCGGACCAGGCCAGUGCCUUUCAUUAAAUUAGCAGAACACUUUGGGAAGAGUGGCCAUAGCGGGUGACAGCCCCGUAUGCGAAAAUGAUUUGAAAGGACUCGAGUAGGGCGGGACACGUGAAAUCCUGUCUGAACAUGGGGGGACCACCCUCCAAGCCUAAAUACUCGUACAUGACCGAUAGCGAACAAGUACCGUGAGGGAAAGGUGAAAAGCACCCCGAUGAGGGGAGUGAAACAGUACCUGAAACCGAACGCCUACAAGCAGUUGGAGGGUCCUUGAGACCUGACAGCGUACCUCUUGCAUAAUGGGUCAGUGACUUAGUGUAACAAGCAAGCUUAAGCCGUUAGGUGUAGGCGCAGCGAAAGCGAGUCUGAAUAGGGCGAAUGAGUUUGUUGCAUUAGACCCGAAACCCGGUGAUCUAGGCAUGACCAGGCUGAAGGUGCGGUAACACGCACUGGAGGGCCGAACCGUUCAAUGUUGAAAAAUUGUCGGAUGAGUUGUGUGUAGGGGUGAAAGGCCAAUCAAGCCGGGAAAUAGCUGGUUCUCCGCGAAAUCUAUUGAGGUAGAGCGUCAGAUGUAUGCC
rnacentral:rRNA from 1 species